rnacentral:rRNA from 1 species
GAUGAACGCUGGCGGCGUGCCUAAUACAUGCAAGUAGAACGCUGAAGCUUGGUGCUUGCACCGAGCGGAUGAGUUGCGAACGGGUGAGUAACGCGUAGGUAACCUGCCUGGUAGCGGGGGAUAACUAUUGGAAACGAUAGCUAAUACCGCAUAACAGUCGACAUUGCAUGAUGUUGAUUUGAAAGGGGCAAUUGCUCCACUACCAGAUGGACCUGCGUUGUAUUAGCUAGUUGGUGAGGUAACGGCUCACCAAGGCGACGAUACAUAGCCGACCUGAGAGGGUGAUCGGCCACACUGCGGACUGAGACACGGCCCAGACUCCUACGGGAGGCAGCAGUAGGGAAUCUUCGGCAAUGGGGGCAACCCUGACCGAGCAACGCCGCGUGAGUGAAGAAGGUUUUCGGAUCGUAAAGCUCUGUUGUAUAGAGAAGAACGAGUGUGAGAGUGGAAAGUUCAC